rnacentral:rRNA from 1 species
UACGAAGGGGGCUAGCGUUGCUCGGAUUGACUGGGCGUAAAGGGCGCGUAGGCGGCUUGUACAGUCAGACGUGAAAUUCCUGGGCUCAACCUGGGGGCUGCGUUUGAUACGUAUGGGCUUGAGUUCGGAAGAGGGUCGUGGAAUUCCCAGUGUAGAGGUGAAAUUCGUAGAUAUUGGGAAGAACACCGGUGGCGAAGGCGGCGACCCGGUCCGAUACUGACGCUGAGGCGCGAAAGCGUGGGGAGCAAACAGG